rnacentral:lncRNA from 1 species
CCGUAGGCAAGGUUUCCAGCAGGUAAAAUAACAGCAAUACCCCAACAGCAAUCCCAAUAACUGGACGACACACAGUUUCAGGAGCAGAACUGAAAGCUUUAAUCCACAGUCUCCUUUUAAAGCAUGCUCCCAUGCUAGGGAGGGAUUUACAAUCAUUAAUACAGUAACCAAUCCUGUCCUGGUAACCUCCCACACAUCUCCUCCCCUCAGCCAGCAUC